rnacentral:sRNA from 1 species
GCCGGGCGCGGUGGUGCAUGCCUGUAAUCCCAGCAACUUGGGAGGCUCAGGCAGGAGGAUGGUGAGUUGAAAGCCAGCCUCAGCAAU